CCUACGGGAGGCAGCAGUGAGGAAUAUUGGUCAAUGGACGAGAGUCUGAACCAGCCACGUAGCGUGAAGGAUGACUGCCCUAUGGGUUGUAAACUUCUUUUAUAUGGGAAUAAAAUGUUCCACGUGUGGGAUUUUGUAUGUACCAUAUGAAUAAGGAUCGGCUAACUCCGUGCCAGCAGCCGCGGUAAUACGGAGGAUCCGAGCGUUAUCCGGAUUUAUUGGUUUUAAAGGGAGCGUAGGUGGAUUUUUAAGUCAGUUGUGAAAGUUUGCGGCUCAACCGUAAAAUUGCAGUUGAUACUGGCAGACUUGAGUACAGUAGAGGUGGGCGGAAUUCGAGGUGAAGCGGUGAAAUGCGUAGAUAUCACGAAGAACUCCGAUGGCGAAGGCAGCUCACUGGACUGAAACUGACACUGAGGCUCGAAAGUGUGGGUAUCAAACAGGAUUAGAUACCCCGGUAGUC
rnacentral:rRNA from 1 species